rnacentral:lncRNA from 1 species
UUCUGAGAUGAGAGAAUAGGGCUAGGGCAAAUUUCCUCGAAUCGGACCAAAAAAAAAAAAAUUCCUCGAAUCGGUGGUGCUAGAUCUGACGGCGCCGGCGAUCGUCUCGGUACUCGGAGCCGGCGGUCGACUCGAAGAUGAGCAGGAUACCAUUACUUUGCUGUCCAGCUGUCGGGGUUUCUACUUUCUCAUUUGAAAUAUGCACUUGUUGAGCUGAAGUCCUAUACUAUCUCUCUUAUGCUAUGAACAUGACAUCCAGUUACUUAUGCUAUCCUGAAAUCAGAAAGCCCGUUGAAUUUUUGGAAUGUGGCCCAGUUGACCUGCCACAGUGAUACAGUGGUUUGUAUACUUGUGAAGUCCCCGAGGUCUACUGCUAAACAGCAAUAUUGGAUAUCUGCUUAAACAAGUGGCAGGAUUUGUUUGCAUUGGGACCAUGGCAAGAUUUCAGGGAGAGAAGUGCCUUAGGAACGCAGAUUUGAGGCAUAAACUAUACACUCUUGAGGAAUCUCAGAUUUGCCAUCUCUGGUAGAGCCAGAAAAUAUAUCAGUGGGGCACCCCAUGCCAAGACAUGGUGUGAGGUCAGAAACUGAAGAUGGAGAGGUGACAGGUAAUGGGUGAGGUCUGAAAGAGAGAGGAAAACUUACAACCAAAGAAACAGGGAAGACUGUUUGGUAAAUUUUUAAGGAUACCAUUACUUUGCUGUCCAGCUGUGGGGCUUUCUACUUUGUCGUUUGAAAAAUGCACUUGUUGAGCUAAAGUUCUAUAUUAUUCCUCCUAUGCUAUGACCACGACAUCCAGUUAAUUAUGAUAAAAAAAGCCUGUUGGAUCUUUGACUGUGGCUCAGUCGACCAGCCACAGUGGUACAUUGGUUUACUGCUACACAUCAAUAUUCUGAAGUGUCAUCCAAGCCACACCAUGCAGAUUUUUUUUGCAUUGGGACAGUGGUAAGAUAUCAGAUCAACUAGGCUAGUUAGAUGUUGAUGAUGAUGAGUGAGGACGAAGGGUGAAAAACAGUAGAGGGGACCUUCAAGAUGGUGAGGAAAAUGGCAAAUCAAUGGGACCUUAAGACUUGUAUUGAGUGCUGCACACUACUGGUAAAUGGUGUUUUGGGAUUUUUUUUUUUUUUUUU